AGCUUACUGGUUUUUAUAGUAGGUUGUUCCUGCUCAGUGUAAGUAGUAAAUAGCCGCGGUAUUCUGACCGUGCAAAGGUAGCAUAAUCAUUUGUUUUUUAAUUGGGGACUGGAAUGAAAGGAAGUUUGAGGCUUUUGUUGUCUCUUUUUUGUUUGGAAGGAAUUUGUUGUUUUUGUGAAGAAACAAAAAUCUUUAAAAGGGACAAGAAGACCCUAUUAAGCUUUACUUUUUACUAUGUUUUUUAUUCUUCAUGAUAUAUACAAAUGUAUAAAAAAGUUUAGUUGGGGUGACUAAAAAGGAGUAUUAUCCUCUUUUUAAUUUUUAACAGUAUGUUUAAGUUUGACCCAAAAUUUUUUGGCUAAAUGAAUAAGUUACUAUAGGGAUAACAGCGUAAUCUUGUUUAAGAGUUCGCAUCAAAAAUAAGGUUUGCGACCUCGAUGUUGACUUGUUAUAUCCUUUUAAGGCGUAGCAGUUUUAAGGGUUAGUCUGUUCGACUAUUAAAAUAAC
rnacentral:rRNA from 1 species